UUUUGAUGAUGAGUCUAACUAGCUCACUUUGAUCGUGCGUAAAGCCAUGAAAAUGUUUGAACAGCUGAAAAAC